rnacentral:rRNA from 1 species
AGGAUGAACGCUGGCGGCGUGCUUAACACAUGCAAGUCGAACGGUGAAGCAGGAGCUUGCUCUUGUGGAUCAGUGGCGAACGGGUGAGUAACACGUGAGCAACCUGCCCCUGACUCUGGGAUAAGCGCUGGAAACGGCGUCUAAUACUGGAUACGAACCACGAAGGCAUCUUCAGUGGUUGGAAAGAUUUAUUGGUUGGGGAUGGGCUCGCGGCCUAUCAGCUUGUUGGUGAGGUAAUGGCUCACCAAGGCGUCGACGGGUAGCCGGCCUGAGAGGGUGACCGGCCACACUGGGACUGAGACACGGCCCAGACUCCUACGGGAGGCAGCAGUGGGGAAUAUUGCACAAUGGGCGCAAGCCUGAUGCAGCAACGCCGCGUGAGGGAUGACGGCCUUCGGGUUGUAAACCUCUUUUAGCAGGGAAGAAGCGAGAGUGACGGUACCUGCAGAAAAAGCACCGGCUAACUACGUGCCAGC